CAGAGUGGCAGGGAGGAUGUUGGACCCCAGCAGUUCCCAGCUGCAUCCCAGUGCUGCUUUCUUCCUGCCCAGCUCAACGCUCGUGUUUCAGCCUCCGCUGUGCUGACUCCAUAAAGGUGAUGGGCUGAGCAGUUUCCUAAUGUGCAAAUGUCAGAACCUGUGAAGGGUUACACUUCUGUAGACAUUUCCCUUCGGAACUCAGUAGAAUUCAGUUCCUCUACCCAUUUGCAUGGAGAUAAUCUGUUCUGGGGUUUGUUUGGGUUUUUUUGAGCUUUGGCACUGGAGUAUGCAAACACUCCUUCUUCUGUUUCAGUGGUUGUUAUGAAUAGAAGAGCUACAGAUCAACCUUCCUUACUAUCCUCAGCUCUUACACCCCAGAAAUAUGUGAAGGUGGUUGCUGCCUCCAGGCCCACAGAACCUUCUCCAGGCUGUUAAAUCUCUAUCUUCUAAUUUCCUUCCCCAUAAGCAAGAGAUCUGCAGUGGUGGCUGCCAGCAAUGUAGCCAGGAGGAAGAAAACUCAUGAGUGAUGCCUGAUCCAGCUUCGAUCCUCACGGAGCUGAUAAUCCUGUCAGAAGCACAGCUUUCAGACCAAUGGUUGCCAGCUGCAAAAUGUCACCAGAGGUAGAAGUGCUGAAGAUCUGUAUGGAUGUCUCCUGAUAACAGCAGGAACGUGCAUUAACAACCGCCCAGCUGCAGUCCUGAAAGCUAGAAGGACAUAAAGGUGCAGAAUUAAUGAACAAAUCCUGCAGCAUCGUUGACUGAGCAAAUCAGCAGUCAGUUAAGUGCAUCCUGUCAGCAGAAG